rnacentral:rRNA from 1 species
UACGGAGGGUGCAAGCGUUAUCCGGAUUCACUGGGUUUAAAGGGUGCGUAGGCGGCUUAUUAAGUCAGUGGUGAAAGCCUGGAGCUUAACUCCAGAACUGCCAUUGAUACUGAUGAGCUUGAGUACAGUUGAGGUGGGCGGAAUGUGUCAUGUAGCGGUGAAAUGCUUAGAUAUGACACAGAACACCAAUUGCGAAGGCAGCUCGCUAAACUGUAACUGACGCUGAGGCACGAAAGCGUGGGUAGCAAACAGG